rnacentral:autocatalytically_spliced_intron from 1 species
CUGGAUGUUUGAAGGAUUUUGCUUCUAGUAAACAAUUGCUACGCCUUGCAGAAAUGCAGGGGUGAUACACUUGCUCAAAUCGGUGAAAUCCUCUAUAUUUUAAGCUAUGGUCCCAUGGCUAUAGAGGACAAUACCGAGGGAAGAUGACAAAAAACUCUUAUCGAGUUUGGAAUCAUCCCCGUAACGACUGGAUUUCCGCCAAAAUAGGUGGAAUGAAGAUGGAUUAUAUAUCCAUAACACGGCAAGCACCUUCCUCGCAGAAAUGCGAAAAGGUGAAGGUAUAGUCUAUCCUUCUGGUAACAGAAGA